rnacentral:rRNA from 1 species
GGGUUGUGAGGUUAAGCGACUAAGCGUACACGGUGGAUGCCCUGGCAGUCAGAGGCGAUGAAGGACGUGCUAAUCUGCGAUAAGCGUCGGUAAGGUGAUAUGAACCGUUAUAACCGGCGAUUUCCGAAUGGGAAACCCAGUGUGAUUCGUCACACUAUCAUUAACUGAAUCCAUAGGUUAAUGAGGCGAACCGGGGAACUGAAACAUCUAAGUACCCCGAGGAAAAGAAAUCAACCGAGAUUCCCCAGUAGCGGCGAGCGAACGGGGAGGAGCCCAGAGCCUGAAUCAGUGUGUGUGUUAGUGGAAGCAUCUGGAAAGGCGCGCGAUACAGGGUGACAGCCCCGUACACAAAAAUGCACAUGCUGUGAGCUCGAUGAGUAGGGCGGGACACGUGGUAUCCUGUCUGAAUAUGGGGGGACCAUCCUCCAAGGCUAAAUACUCCUGACUGACCGAUAGUGAACCAGUACCGUGAGGGAAAGGCGAAAGAACCCCGGCGAGGGGAGUGAAAAAGAACCUGAAACCGUGUACGUACAAGCAGUGGGAGCCUCUUUAUGGGGUGACUGCGUACCUUUUGUAUAAUGGGUCAGCGACUUAUAUUCUGUAGCAAGGUUAACCGAAUAGGGGAGCCGAAGGGAAACCGAGUCUUAACUGG